rnacentral:lncRNA from 1 species
CUUUCUCUUUUUAGAGGAAUUCUGGAGUUGGGAAUAUGUCCAUCUGGGUUAGCAGUUGUGUGGCAUUCUACAAACUAUCUGUUGUUCAGAUCAUUUUUCUUUCUACCACCAGCUUUACAUUCCCACAGGCUCCUUUCUACAUGCCCUGUCUGAUAGUUUCAGAUGGAGCCAGAAACGUCAAAUCAAACUUACCUCUCGUGGGCUUUCACCUCGCGCUGCAGAACAGAUCCUGAUCAGCCAGCCUCGCCCUGCAAGGGCUGCAGACACAGCUGUGUGCCUCAGACCUGCUGUGACAAACAUGGCAAGCAGCACCACAGCUCAGCCUGCCUGUCCACUGCUCCUUCAUUCCAACACGCACAGAACAAGAGUAAAGCUACAAAUCUCAAUGCAGAUCCAUGCAACAAAUGAAACAUCUUGGGGAAGGGAAAAGGUAACAUUUGUUUUUGCUACAAAUUUAUUUUGUGUGUCUUUGAGGGGAAAAUAUAGUGCUCUUGACUGUUUUGACUGUUAUAAUUUUAACAGACAUCAUGUGGCACUGUUACUGUUACUAGGGAAGGCUUCAUUUCAUCUUAAUGAAAGGAUUGGAUUUAUCAAUUAUGGUAUGAAGAAUGCAGAGGUUAUCCUUGAUAAGUGGACUUGUAACUGAAGGCAACGAUGGGCAAUCAUCACAAAUAUCAAACAUAACUUGAGAACGUAGAAACGUUGGAUCAAAGAAGAGUCAAUUACAGACAUGCAUUGUUAUUGAGCAAAAACAAAUCUUAAUAAGGUUUGUACCCUAUUUAAUCACUAUGUCAUAGUAAUAGAGAAACUAUUUAUUAAAAUGUUACCUUAGUUUAAUUACUAAGUUUAAUUACAACUGCAUACAGUUGUUGCUUCUCUAAGACAAUUAUGCCACAUAAGACUAAAAAGAAAUAAUUCAGAUAGUUUCACUUGAAAGAAAUCCAUUAGGAUCUUGUUUGGGAAUACUUUGAUCCUG